CAGUGGGGCAAGGAAUCUGUUGACUUUCUGACAUUGGCUGUGAAUCAGAUCAACCAUCAUGAUCCUUAUCAGUUCCAGCGGCUACGUUCUGACGGAUCUCCGAAGUCCACCCGUGAAAUUUAUCCGACUGGACAUCCAAACCACUGUCGAGAAGUCAAUUCCCAGUCGGUGACUCAGGGCAUGAUCUUAAUCUGCAUCCUCUCAAACGGAAGAAGGGCUCAAAAACACGCUUAAAGAUACACCUCGACGAUGACGUUGACUCAGAGCCCAAAAUCCAAUGCGACGAGAGACUGGCGUACCGGAUGCAAAACCUGAUACAGCGAAGCUAAUCGGGUUUGACUUCCAUGGAGUUUGCAGCCAACGACGUUUCUUGAGAUGUCGGCACAAGGUUGACGUGUUAGAAUCGUCAACGCCACCGUAGCGAGCGCCGAUUGGUUGUCCCUGUUCCGGUGGACUGCAGAAGAAUCCAGAUGCUCAGAUUCGUGAUCAUUGCAAGCAGACAAGUAGUCAACGUAAAGAUCUAAAUCGUGACGAAUGAUAAUGGCCGGCAGGCAUCCGUAAAGACGAGUAAACUCAUCUCGCGCGGUUGGUCAUCACGCGGCGCAUAGUCGAUACGCGUGGAUCAAGUUACAACACGAAUCUUAUAACAUGACAGUCCACGCCCCUCUCGGUAUCACCCGGCCGAUGCCACGCGAUCCAACGUCGCUCGAUUCAUUUCCUCCUCGACUCUUCCCAAUCUAAUCUUUUUAUGUUACGAUUGUUCAUUUACCAAGAACCCUAAUUAUUCCUCGAUCCCUUUGUGGGAAUUCGCCCCUUCUCGUUCAACUCCUAUGAUGCGAUCUCUUCUCGCAGCAUUGCGUCGGUCCGUCCCCACUCUCGUCUACAUGGCGCCACUCAGAACGCGACCGGCCCGAGCGACGAGGAGAUCGCCGUCGCCGUCGACGGAGAUGACUCGCCCACGGCCAAGAAGCCACUUAGGGCUGAGUCGAGGAUUCCCCUGUUCGUGAUCUUCUCGGUCGGCCUGCUGUGCAUCUUCCUCACCAUGCCCGAGGCCGAGCACGAUACGAUCCUAAGGCUAACGCGGCACCUCUCCGUCCUCAACCCGAAGCAAAAAGGACCUUCAUUUAUGAUUUUUCCUGCUGGACACGUAUGUUCAAUUGUAAUUAUAUCAAAUGCACUCCGGAAGGCCUUCUAUUGAUGUAAGUAGAUGUUCAUGAUACCUGGUACCGCAUUCUUGUUAUUACUGGCUGGAUCUCUUUCGGGGUCAUAAAAGGUGUUAUUCUGGUAGUUCUCUGUGCAACUUAUGGUGCUUCAUCCUGGUACUUCUUUGUGCAUAUACUUGUUUCUGUAUGUAUGAAACGGAAGUAACAUAAUUUAGCUUGAAUUUCUUAUUAGCAUGAUUGCGAAAUCUUCAUUAUCAAAAUUUUUCCCUUGUCAUUUUUCCACAAAUGUACAAAAUGCAUUUAAGAUGAGAAAAUUUGCAGCAUCCACUAAAAUCCUUGCAAGUCCAUAUGCCUUUUCUGGAUAAUCUUGUUGCACCUGACUAUUUAAUUGAACAAGGCUCUGGUGAGUUAUUGAAUAACAUCUUAUUCUUUAUUUGACUUUUCUGGUUUGUUUCUCGUUUUCUUUAGAUCAAUUUGACUUGAUGGUUAGACAACUUUACAUGCUCUUGACAAUAAGAUGUUUCUAUACUCACUCAUGUACCUUCAGGGUGGCCUUGCUCGUUAGGGAUCUGUAUGACUUGGAGACAUAGGUAAUUCUGUUCCUUAUCGGAUUUGUUUCCAUAUUUUUCGCACAAUUCUAAAUCCCAAUUUGCUUGGAUAUUUUGAUUCUGUUCUUGGCUUUAUAACUUCAAUAUAAGUU